rnacentral:rRNA from 1 species
GGGACGAACGCUGGCGGCGUGCCUAAUGCAUGCAAGUCGAGCGACGAAUAGGUGCGGGUAACCAAGCCUAUUACGGAGCGGCGAACGGGUGAGUAACACGUGAGCAACCUGCCCCGAAGACCGGGAUAGCCCAGGGAAACUUGGAUUAAUACCGGAUAUCCUCCUUUGAUCGCAUGGUCGUUGGAAGAAAUGCUUUUACGCUUCGGGAUGGGCUCGCGGCCUAUCAGCUUGUUGGUGGGUAACGGCCUACCAAGGCGUCGACGGGUAGCUGGUCUGAGAGGACGAUCAGCCACACUGGGACUGAGACACGGCCCAGACUCCUACGGGACGGCACGGCAGCGAAGGGAAUUUUGCGCAAGUGGGACGAAAGCCUGACGCAGCAACGCCGCGGUGGGGAUGGAAGGUCCGUUACGGGUUACGUUAAACCCCGUUUAGGGACGGAACCGAAAGUUCGGACGGUACC